rnacentral:rRNA from 1 species
UACGUAGGGGGGCAAGCGUUUGUCCGGAAUCAUUGGGCGUAAAGAGCGUGUAGGCGGCCCGAUAAGUCCGCCGUGAAAGUCCAGGGCUCAACCCUGGAAUGCCGGUGGAAACUGUCGGGCUGGAGUCCGGAAGAGGCGAGUGGAAUUCCUGGUGUAGCGGUGAAAUGCGCAGAUAUCAGGGAGGAACACCAAUGGCGAAGGCAGCUCGCUGGGACGGU